AGCAAACGCAACUGCACGCUUUCGUUAUUUUGUGUGAUAACAUUUUCCAGUUGGAUCUAAUUAAAUCCCACAGAUUGAAUCCCGCACUACAGUACGGUCUGGGGAUAGAAUGCGUCCCUCGCUGUUACUCGAGGCCGGUGAUGUGAGAGUAACUUGACUGGCAGGGAAGUCAAAGAUGUUAGGAGGGAGCGACCGCCCGAAGAGCAGAAAGAGAACGGAGACAAAGGGCCUUCUCAGAGCAGGGGCGUCGCCGAGGUAUGUGGGGGCAAUGGAGACAUCAACACUGGGGACUGUUAGCAGGAGAUGUUCUAGGUGGAGCUGGCUGACCUGGAGCAGAGCACCUGCGGGGCUUCCAGCGCCCGUGGAGGGGCUCUAUCGUUAUUUCCAGGAGGCUGGCUUGGUUCCCUCACACCCUGACGCAUAUCCAGAUGGCUGGAGCUCCGAGUAGAUGCUAGUGGAGUAGGUUUGAAUGGACAACCUGUGGCAGGACAGAUGCCCAAUCCACUGGUGGCUGAGCUCUUUGUGCAAAGCUCUUUGCACCUCGCUCCUUCUGGUGAUACCCCCCUCUCUGAUAUCAAAAGUUCUAAUUCUUCCGAGUCAUUCAUGGAAUCAUCCCUUCGGAAUGGAUUGUGGAGGAGGUAUGCCAGUCACCUGGAGGAUUCUCUGUGGAGGGACAAUUUGGGAGAAAAGUCCAGGGCUCUGACUUCCCUGCUCCUGUUUGCAGAGAGCCCCCAUCAGCAAUCGU
rnacentral:lncRNA from 1 species